GAGUGCGGGAAGGCCUUCGGAGGCGCUCCCCCCUCUUCAAGCGCCGGGCGACUCUCGGCGAGGGGCGGCCCUGCGGGUGUCCGUACUGCGGGAGGGUGUUCCGGAGCCGCUUGUCCCUCCCGCAGCACCGGCGCGCCCCAGGCGGCCAGCGCGGCCUAGCCUGUGAGGGGGCAGUGUGGUGCGGCGGCCCCCGCGGCAGCCACGGGGGUGGGAAGCCCUCGGAGAAGAGCGACGGGGGAAAGGCGCCGGCCAGAAAGUCCGGGGACACCGCGAAUGCGCGGCCACCAGCAGUACAGCCUGCUCGCCUGGGAGAGGGCCCGCUUUAAAGCCUGGGGCCUCCCGCUGCCCUGCCUUUGAUCGCUGAGGACGCGACUGAAGCACAGAGACCUCAGAACAGAUCCAUGUUCUGUGCUGGAACUGCCCAGAUGCCCCUACCCCACGCGGGUCAGCGCCGCGCUCCAGCAGGGCCCUGUCGUGGGCACAGCCGCCUCCGGUGAGGGACGAGCGGUCUCUCUCGUGCCGUGGGACCAUCCGCUUCGCUCCAAGACUUCUUGGUGUUUCCAGGUAAAAGCACUAAAAGCUUUCAGAGCUCAUAAACGGGGGGGGGGGGGGGGGGGGGGGAGGGGGGGCGUGACGGAAUUCUACAACUAGACUGUGGCCGGCCCGUGACAUCACCUCAAAUGCAUCAAGAAACCGUCCGAAAACGGCCUUGGGCGAACACAUUCGUGGACAGCUCACGCCCAGGUGUCAGGCUGCGGGAAGCGGUGUCUCCUCUCUAAGCCCGCAGCUCCACGGGAGGAAACGGGACACCCUGCCAUCAUGCUGACUGGUGGCCCGCUCUUUUUCCAGGCCCUCUGUCCCCGUGCCAGAGAGGCGCAGCCUUCUCCUUUGAGAAGCAGCCCCCGGGGCCCAUCUUCUCGGAGCCCUGGGGCGGGGCAGGGGAGUCAGGGGACACUCUGGUUCCUCGCAGGAGCGGGCUCCGGGCAAGACCCCGCACGAUCUGGCCUGCUGCUAUCCGUCUCCUCCCACCCGGUGCCCCGGGCUCACCCUACUUACUGCCGUCUGCCUCCCACACCCCAGCAGCACAGACCAGCCUGGCCUCUCUGCCCCUCCUCCCCACCCUCAGUGCCUAAAGCUUCACACUUAGCUGCUCUCCCUCAAGCGGCCACCUCUUGUGGCUGGUGCCGAUCAGGAACAAAAUGAGACGGGCUACGAAUUUGCACACAGCAUGCCCAGUGAUGGCUCUCUCAUCGGACCUUUCGUAUGAUAUUUCUUACAAUACUGCACGUUCACUUGCUUUCAGCAUUUUUGUAUUCAGGAGUAACGUAAGCUAGAGAUUUCGGCCACAUAAGGAAGGGUGUUGGUGAAUCGCUCCUGAAAUAAGAAUCCCGCCAACCCUGUGAGAAGACCUCAGGCAGGAGAAAGAGACACCCGAUGGGUGCGGUGGUGAGCCUGGCCCUUCUUCUCCCUCCUCCCCCUGAGCCCCACAGAAACAGGGCGGCCCCUUCAAAUGGCACUUUCCUGCAGCCUCCUGCUGGCCAGGGGGUGGCGGCUGCUGGCAGGCUCUGCCCUGUUCUAUCCGCACCGUCCCCAGAGCCGGGUUCAGGAGUUCGGCCCCUGGGUGCUCUCAGCCCAGCGUCCUGGUUGGCUUGCCUCCUCCUUCCAGCCCCCUCCACUGCCGGGACCUCUGGCGGGCAACUGGUUGGUUCUGCUGGUGUUAUGGCAGCAGGGGCGCAGCGGGAUGCCUACGGCACGGCUGAUUCUCCGUGAACGUCUCAGGACGGGCCAGAACCUUCACUCCUUUCCUCAGCCGGAGGAGCACAGCAGGCUUUCAGGUGGGGAUGCUACUACGUGUAUGUCUUGUCAGGCGGCGGAGACAAGUGCAUCUUGAAGCCACGGCCAGAGCGAGCAGCAGGGGGGCUCUUGAAACGGGAAGGAGAGGUGGAGGGAUUUCAGGCAGGGUAGGGGGAAGAAGAGGGGGCACAUGGUGUGGUCAGGAACCCCCAAAAAGCAGAGGGAUUUUGGUAGGACUGUUGGGGGGCAGAUGGUCGUGAGAAGCAGACGAAGAACUUUCAUCUCCACCUGCUUCCUGAUGAGGAGCGAUUUGUUUUUAACAUCAAAGAAUUAUUCUAACAUUGAGGAGGGGACGUUAGUGUAUAUCAUAACCGCUAGAGCGCGUGACUUUGAAGGCUGGCCACCAAGUAUACACACGACAGUCAGCCAGAUGCUUCUGAUGUUCAUUAGGUGUUGACCCGGGACUCUUUGACGUGAGCACCUCAAAUGGCGUUCUCAGGAAUUGCCACUUGCUGUGGGCUCACUAGCUCAUCCCCUCUCAUGCUCCUACUGAUGUGUCUAUGACUUCACAACACAGGGACCCCGCCCCCCCCCCCAGGAUUUGCAGGUCACCGAUUCAUCUUUCUUUGACCGCCUCAUGGAGAGGUAUCAUCCUACGUGGGCCACAAGACCUGUUGAAUGCUUGCUGGUGGACAUUUGGGUUGUUUCCAGCCCGGGGCCAUGACAAAUAAAGCUGCUAUGAGCACUUGAGUGCA